CAGCAGCCACGGGAAUACGGAGGAUCCAAGCGUUAUCCGGAAUCAUUGGGUUUAAAGGGUCCGUAGGCGGUCUUGUAAGUCAGUGGUGAAAGCCCAUCGCUCAACGGUGGAACGGCCAUUGAUACUGCAGGACUUGAAUUAUUGGGAAGUAACUAGAAUAUGUAGUGUAGCGGUGAAAUGCUUAGAGAUUACAUGGAAUACCAAUUGCGAAGGCAGGUUACUACCAAUUGAUUGACGCUGAUGGACGAAAGCGUGGGUAGCGAACAGGAUUAGAUACCCCGGUAGUCCCUGUCUCUUAUAC
rnacentral:rRNA from 1 species